rnacentral:misc_RNA from 1 species
GAAAUGCGAUAAGUAAUGUGAAUUGCAGAAUUCAGUGAAUCAUCGAAUCUUUGAACGCACAUUGCGCCCGCCGGCAUUCCGGCGGGCAUGCCUGUCCGAGCGUCAUUUCAACCCUCAGGGUCCCCCGCCCAGCGCGGACGGGCCCUGGCGUUGGGGAUCGGCCCGCCCCGCGCGGCGCCGUCCCCCAAAUUCAGUGGCGGUCCCGCCGCAGCCUCCCCUGCGCAGUAGUUACCAACUCGCACUGGAGCGCGGCGCGGCCACGCCGUAAAACCCCCGACUUCUGGAAAGUUGACCUCGGAUCAGGUAGGAAUACCCGCUGAACUUAA